UACAGAGGGGGCAAGCGUUGUUCGGAAUUACUGGGCGUAAAGGGCGCGUAGGCGGCCUGCUAAGUCGAACGUGAAAUCCCCGGGCUCAACCCGGGAACUGCGUCCGAUACUGGCAGGCUUGAAUCCGGGAGAGGGAUGUGGAAUUCCAGGUGUAGCGGUGAAAUGCGCAGAUAUCAGGAGGAACACCCGUGGCGGAAGGCGGCUCUCUGGGACGGUACUGACGCUGAGACGCGAAAGCGUGGGGGAGCAAACAGG
rnacentral:rRNA from 1 species